rnacentral:rRNA from 1 species
UACGGAGGGUGCGAGCGUUGUUCGGAAUCACUGGGCGUAAAGGGUGCGUAGGUGGCGCGCUAAGUCAGGUGUGAAAUUUCGGAGCUUAACUCCGAAACUGCAUUUGAUACUGGCGUGCUUGAGGACUGGAGAGGAGACUGGAAUUCACGGUGUAGCAGUGAAAUGCGUAGAGAUCGUGAGGAAGACCAGUGGCGAAGGCGGGUCUCUGGACAGUUCCUGACACUGAGGCACGAAGGCCAGGGGAGCAAACGGG